UUUGAUCUCAGUGGAUCAUGGAGCAGCGCUCUGACCGCGGUGUGUCGGAGUGUCGUGCCCGCACGGAUGCGCUUCUAACACGGUUACUUUUGCUCCGGAGCCCCGCUGAACGGAACUAAAGCUGGAGGAUCGGAUCGGUACCGAUGGCUGAUCCUCUGCGGAGGACAAUUCUAGCCAAACUCAGGGGCAAGAAACCCAAAGGGAAAGACGCGAGCACCGCGAACCGGCCGAGAGAAGGUAAAGAAAAAGUUUCUCAAACGCAGACAGAGAGAGAUUACAUUUCACAUGCGAUGAGGGGUGAGGAGAGGUGUGUGGCCGCUCUCGGCUGCAGCGCGGCUCCCCGGUGCGCUGUGCGUGUCACCGGGAUCUCAGGGCCCGGGGGUCCCGCUGAUCAAAGCGAACGCACCGAGCUGAAGCGUCUCCAAACGCCGCGGGUCCGCGGAGACUCGAUCGGCUUCAGCGGCUGCGAUUUAAAACCCCGACGAGAGGCUUUAAAGCUAACAGAUGGCCAAGAUCUAAAGAAUAAAGGACCAAAUGUUACACUACUCGAGCAAAAGGCCGGGGAAAACAUUACGAGCGACUUUGAACGUCACGCCAGGGGCCCCCAGCCUCAUGUGUUUGAUUAUAUAGACGCUGAAAGCGAUUUAAUUCAGGUUAUAGAGAGUUCGCUGGAAUAUCAUGGAGAUUUUAGGAUGCCCGCAUUACAAAGUCCGACUUUUUUCCCCACUGAUCUGGAAAUAACAGUGGCCCCUGUGUUGAGAGAGGGGGCCCCUCGACACCACUCAGUCGACAGCGAGGACGACGAUUAUUAUGAUAACCAAACUCUGCCCUUUUAUGAGUCUCACACUCACUUGAAAGAGCGAAAUACGAAUAUCGGUGAGCCGAUAUCGGCGUCGGAAUCUAACGAAACCGACAGAUUGAAGUCCCAACUGAAAGAGGCGUAUUAUUUGCUAAUAAACACAAUGCACAACAUCAGUUUCGACGGUCAGGUCGAAGAUAACGGAUUUGUGGAUCAGGCCAGUAGCGCUAGUCAAUCCCACGACAGCGUUAGCACAGAAAGCGACGCGUGUUCGUCCGAAGAACGUAACGAUUCUGCGUUUCUCGGACGAUGUGGGGUGGGUCUGACGGUGUCUUCGCAGAGCAGAAGCUUGCAGAAUAUUUGCGACGCGAGUCCCAAAACGACGCUCCAGCGGUCGGUGAGCGACAGCAAGGUGAAGUACUCGUCAAACCGCGAGGAAGAGCCGCGAGCCGCCGUCGCAUCGGGUCUCGAUGUGCAACAGGCGAACCCUUCGGAAGCCCUCCCGACGCUUGCUUCAUCGCGCAGAUCCUGCGACGACGCAGCGGUGCCCAAACAUCCCGGAGUCACCGUCAACAAGAUGCAAGAGUGGAUGCAGAAAGGUCGCGUGCUUUCGUCCGAGAUGAAGCAGAGGAUCGCGGGUUCCUCGCUGAGAGCCAAUCACGUGAGGCAGCAGACAGCACCGGUGGAGUCUGUAUGUCAGCGAGACUCCAGCGCACGUCAGGCCCCGUUCAACCACAUCACCGUCUCCAAAAAGCGCCAGUGGCUCCAGCAGAGCUGCGCUCGGCCUGAGGACGUCACAGCGCCCCCUGCAGCCGAGGAGGAGCGCACACACCCACAAACACACCCUCCAUCGGCCGCUAACUCACGUCUAACAGACAAAGAAGUGCCGGACCCAGCCGAGGAGAACGACGCCGCCGACACCGACGAGGGAGAGAUCUGGUACAACCCCAUCCCAGAGGAUGAAGAGGGCGAUCUGCCGAACUGUGUUCCCGCCGUCAGAAUCCAGACGGGACGAGCGAGAGACGAAACACAGACGCAGGAGGAGAGCAGAGCCACAGAUCCUUCAGAGCAAUCCACUGGUGGACUUUCUCCCUCUUCUAGUCCCAAUCUAGCUAAAAGGAGCACUGCUAUCAACUGGUCUUUUCCUGAUAAAAUCAAGUCACCACGGACUGUCCGAAAACUGUCCAUGAAGAUGAAGAAACUGCCUGAUCUGAGUCGGAAGCUUAGUGUUAAAGGGACCCCAUCUAGCACUGUGGCCAUCAGCAAUGGCCAAUCAGAAACCAGGGCCCACUCACCUAGAGCCAAUGGGAUGGCAGAGUUGGGCCAGUCCCGGCCCAGACUGUCCCCGGCGGGUGUGACGACUGCAAUGGCGAGUGGUAAUGUGAUUUGGCGAUACCAUCUGGACAGCAGUGUUUCUUCGCAGCACAACUUUGAUAAGAAAAGGAGCAACACCAGUGGCGUUCCCAAAUCGGCCAGUAAGGGAGGUUACCUAAGUGAUGGAGACUCACCCGAACUUGUAGCCAAGUCAGGAAAGCACGGAAACUCGGACAGAAAGAACGGUAAAGCCCGAGACAGGGAUCCCAAUGGGAAUGGCGGAAGUCCGAAGCUCCCUGGCACGGAGCUGGAUAUCGAUGCCUUCCGUUCGUACAGUUUCUCUGAGCAGCCAAAGUGCCUAACGUACAUCUCUGGACUAAUGAGUCUGCACUUCUAUGGCGCAGAGGACCUAAAGCCACCGCGGGUUGAUUCUCGCGACGUCUACUGCGCCAUCCAGGUGGACUCUGUAAACAAAGCUCGCACGGCCUUGCUGACCUGUCGGACAGCCUUCCUGGAUAUGGACCACACCUUCAACAUUGAGCUGGAGAACGCUCAGCACCUCAAACUUGUCGUCUUCAGUUGGGAGUCAAUUCCGCGAAGGAAUCGAGUGUGCUGCCAUGGAACUGUGGUUCUUCCGACCUUGUUUCGUGUGAGUAAGACGCACCAGCUUGCGGUCCGCUUGGAACCACGUGGAAUGAUCUACGUGAAGCUGAGCCUCAUGGAGCAGAGGCAAAACUCUCUUGAUGGCCCAGAGGGGGAUCAUGAAAUGCAGGUGUUUGGCCUAGAGGCUCGGCGCGUGGUGGAACGGGAAGCUUCAGGAUUAAUGGUUCCAUUGCUCAUCGAGAAAUGCAUCUCUGAGAUCGAGAGGCGGGGUUGUCAGGUGGUGGGUCUGUAUCGUCUGUGCGGUUCGGCUGCGGUGAAGAAGGAGCUGCGGGAAGCGUUCGAGAGGGACAGUCACUUCGUCGAGCUCUCGGAAAACAACUUCCCUGAUAUUAACGUCAUUACAGGCGUGCUGAAGGACUUUCUCCGUGAGCUUCCUCAUCCUCUCAUCACCAAGCAGCUGUACGAGUCUGUUCUGGACUCGAUGGCCAAGAGGCCGCUGCAGAUGGGAAGCAGCGGCUGCGAGAACGACCCGGCCGACUCGGAUCACGCCGUCAGCUCACUGGAGCUCCUGCCGGAGGUUGAGAAGGCGACCCUGCGGAAGCUUCUGGAUCACCUGAAGCGCGUGGCGUCCCAUCACGAGGUGAAUAAAAUGACCUGUCAGAACCUGGCAGUGUGUUUCGGGCCGGUUCUGCUCAGCCAGAGACAGGAGGCGUCCUGCCACGGGAACCGGGUCUUCAUCGACUCCGAGGAGCUUGCCAGCGCUCUGCACUUCAAGAAACACAUCGAGGUCCUUCAUUACCUGCUCCAGCUCUGGCCAGUUGUGGACGCUCAGGGUAAAUCUUCUUCUCCGGUUCCUUGCCCGGUGGAGUUGCUCCCAGCAGCAAAAGCUGCCGUAAGGAGGAGGAAAGAGCGUCCACAGGUGCUGAAUCUAACCGAGGCGGAUAUGGCAGGCGUUUUGCGGCCCAGAGCUGGCCGCCUGGACAGUCCCAGUAACCGUUAUGCUGGGGACUGGAGUGGAUGCCAGGAAACGUACCUCCAACCGAGCUGCCCAGAGGAGGCAGACUAUGACGACGUUCCCAGCGAAGAGUCUCCAAACGCAGGACAGGAGGACUUAUCAAAGGGUACUGGAGAUGUAAUCUCCGAACAAGAGUUGCCCGAGGUGGAUGAGGGAGUGGAGAGGGUUGAGGAAAUGCAGAUAGAGGAGGAAGAGGAAGAGAGUGAGGAAGAGAAUACAAUAGUUUUGGACAAGCUACAAGUGGAGGAACCUGUUUCCACCAGACCCUGCGAUCAGAUCCUCCCUGAUCACGAGGAGCACCAACCCAAAGAGCACACCUACCAGGCCUACAUGAAGAUUCAGGAGAUUAGCCCAGUCCUAAGCAACAGGGUCAACCUGCGGGACCUGCAGGAGAGCAUUGACACUCUAAUUGGCAACCUGGAAAGGGAGCUCAACAAGAACAAGCUCAACAUAGGGUACUGACUCUUUACCAGAACAGUUGAGAUAUGGUGGUGAUUGCCUAGAGACAUCAGUGCUACGGAACUUUCUUGCUCCCAUGCACACUUGGGAUGCAUGUACAAGAAGACAUUCCUCACUUCUGAUUUGUUUUCAUUUGUCUCCUGCUCUCCAUGUUGUUGAGCUCAUCAUUGUUUUUCUUCUUAUGAGAAGAACUCAUUGAAUCCUGAGGGGUGCACCAGAUGCCUUCAUUGUGUUAAGGUGGUGCUUACGAUGGCAAGAGCUUUUUUACUUUCUACGGAGGUACAAAACAUUAUGAUGAAAACCAAUGCACUUAUGGGGCCUGCUGUUAGGCACGGCCAGUUCAGGUACAGGUGUGAAGCCUUAUGGUGGGAGAACUAGGUACUAUAGAUACAUCCUUAUACCAUGGGUACUCAGUCCUGCUCAUGGAGAUCCAGCUUCCACUUUAGUUCCAACCCUGCAAACACCAGAUAAUCAAGGUCUUGGGGUUCCCUUAAAGAGGUAGAUCACAGAAGCAGGAUUGAGUACCCUACCCUAACCCCAGCCCUACGACCCUGAACACUACAUCAGGGAUCUUGAAUGCAAAUUACCUAUUGAGGAGAUGGUGUUAGACUCCCUAAACUCUGAAUGCUAUAUCCAAACCCUAACCCUAUCCUGACCCUAAACAAGGGGUGUCCCAUCCUGCUUCUGGAAAGCCACCUUCAUCUCUAGCUCUAAUUAAACACACUUAAUCCAGAUAAUCAAGGUCUUGGGAUUCACUUAAAGAGGAGGGUAGAUCACUAAGAGCGGAAUUGAGCACCCCAACCCAACAACCCUAAACCCUACAUCAGGGGUCUCGAACACAAAUUACCCAGUGUUAUCAUGUAGUUUGAGAUCCCUGCAUCCUACUCCCUAACCUCUGAAUGUUCAAUCUUAACCCUAUCCUAAACCUCACACCCUAACCGGGGGGGGGGCGGGUUGUUCCCGCUCCUGGAGUUACAGCUUAAUGUAGUUUUCAGUUCCAACCCUCCAAACACCCUUGAACCAGCUAAUUAAGGUCUUGAGCGUCACUUAAAGAGGAGGGUAGAUCACCAAGAGCGGGAUUAAGUACCCUAACCCAAACCCUAUGACCCUGAACCCUACAUCAGGGGUCUCGAAUGCAAAUGACCUAAACCUUAGACCCUUACCAGGGGAGUUCGUUCCUGCUUCUGCAGAUCUAACUUCCUGUAACCUCCAAACACACUUAAACCAGCUAAUCAAGAACUUGUGGUUCGCUUAAAGAGGAGGGUGGAUCACUAGGAGUGGGAUUGAGCACACUACUAUAACCCCAACUCUACGACCCUGAACCCUGCAUCAGGUGUCACGAACACAGAUUACCUAGUGAGGUGUUGUUACCCAGUAGUUUGAGAUCCCUGCACCUUACUCCCUAAACUCUGAAUGUUAUAUCCUAACCCUAACCCUAUCCUAACCCUUACACCCUAAACAAGGGAUGUCUAGUCCUGUUCCUGGAAGGCCACCUUCAGCUCCAGCUCUAAUCAAGGUCUUUAACUACUGUCUUUUAACUUUCAGGCAGAUGUGUUGAAGAUAAAUUUUGCUUGAAGGUGGCUCUCCAAGAGCAGUAUCGGACACCCAACACCCCUUCCAUUCAGGGAGCGACUAACACUGCUGGUCUAGUUGAGGUUGUGGUCGUAUUAGAUUAAAACCAUGACUGUUUGAGCUGUUUUCUUUGUAAAAAUACUUCAGACGUCCCCCUAAACAAGCUAUGGACAGCUGAAGAUGAAUAUGCUUGUAGUAAGUAGUAAAAUAAUAUUUAAUAAUAGUUAGGCAGAACUUUAAAAAAUAAAUAA